rnacentral:rRNA from 1 species
UACGUAGGGGGCAAGCGUUGUCCGGAAUCAUUGGGCGUAAGAGCGUGUAGGCGGCCCGAUAAGUCCGCCGUGAAAGCCCAGGGCUCAACCCUGGGAUGCCGGUGGAUACUGUCGGGCUAGAGUUCGGAAGAGGCAAGUGGAAUUCCUGGUGUAGCGGUGAAAUGCGCAGAUAUCAGGAGGAACACCUAUGGCGAAGGCAGCUUGCUGGGACGACACUGACGCUGAGACGCGAAAGCGUGGGGAGCAAACAGG